GCGGAGUUAGCUCAGUUGGUUAGAGCAUCACGUUGACAUCGUGGGGGUCGGUGGUUCGAAUCCACUAUUCCGCA
rnacentral:tRNA from 3 species